UACGGAGGGUGCAAGCGUUAUCCGGAUUCACUGGGUUUAAAGGGUGCGUAGGUGGGCAGGUAAGUCAGUGGUGAAAUCUCCGGGCUUAACUCGGAAACUGCCAUUGAUACUAUUUGUCUUGAAUGUCGUGGAGGUUAGCGGAAUAUGUCAUGUAGCGGUGAAAUGCUUAGAUAUGACAUAGAACACCAAUUGCGAAGGCAGCUUACUACGGGGUCAUUGACACUGAGGCACGAAAGCGUGGGGAUCAAACAGG
rnacentral:rRNA from 1 species